UAAGGAAUAUUGCUCAAUGGGAGAAAUCCUGAAGCAGCAACGCCGCGUGGAGGAUGAAGGGUCUAUGACUUGUAAACUCCUGUAAAGAAGGAAAAAAUUCCCAUUAGAUGGGAGAUGAUGGUACUUCUGGAGUAAGCCCCGGCUAACUACGUGCCAGCAGCCGCGGUAAUACGUAGGGGGCAAGCGUUGUCCGGAUUUACUGGGUGUAAAGGGUGCGCAGGCGGAUUUGUAAGUCAGAGGUGAAAUCUUACAGCUUAACUGUGAAACUGCCUUUGAUACUGCAAGCCUAGAGUAUGGAAGAGAGUGAUGGAAUAUCUGGUGUAGCAGUGAAAUGCGUAGAUAUCAGAUAGAACACCAAUGGCGAAGGCAGUCACUUGGUCCAUUACUGACGCUAAAGCACGAAAGCGUGGGUAGCAAACA
rnacentral:rRNA from 1 species